rnacentral:rRNA from 1 species
CCUACGGGGGGCUGCAGUAAGGAAUAUUGGUCAAUGGACGAAAGUCUGAACCAGCCAUCCCGCGUGCAGGAUGAAAGCCCUAUGGGUUGUAAACUGCUUUUAGCAGAGAAGAAAAGCUUCCAUUUAUGGGGGUCUGACGGUAUCUGCAGAAUAAGCACCGGCUAACUCCGUGCCAGCAGCCGCGGUAAUCCGGAGGGUGCGAGCGUUAUCGGGAAUUACGGGGUUUAAGCGGUGCGUUGACGGAGUAGUAGAAUCUUGUCGCUUAACGAUAAAAUUGCCAAUGAUACUGGUACUCUUGAAUUGGGUUGAGGUUAGCGGAAUGUGACAUGUAGCGGUGAAAUGCAUAGAUAUGUCAUGGAACACCAAUUGCGAAGGCAGCUAACUGGGCCUUGAUUGACGCUGAGGCACGAAAGCGUGGGUAGCGAACAGGAUUAGAUACCCGAGUAGUC